rnacentral:rRNA from 1 species
GGCUCAGGAUGAACGCUAGCGGCAGGCUUAAUACAUGCAAGUCGAGGGGCAGCACGGGUAGCAAUACCUGGUGGCGACCGGCGCACGGGUGCGUAACACGUAUGUAACCUACCUUAAACUGGGGAAUAGCCCCUUGAAAGAGGGAUUAAUACCUCAUAACACUGCGAAGAGGCAUCUUUUUGCAGUUAAAGUUCCGACGGUUUAAGAUGGGCAUGCGCGACAUUAGCUUGUUGGUGAGGUAACGGCUCACCAAGGCUGUGAUGUCUAGGGGUUCUGAGAGGAAAAUCCCCCACACUGGUACUGAGACACGGACCAGACUCCUACGGGAGGCAGCAGUAAGGAAUAUUGGUCAAUGGGCGCAAGCCUGAACCAGCCAUGCCGCGUGCAGGAUGACGGCCCUAUGGGUUGUAAACUGCUUUUAUACGGGAAAAAACCCUCCGACGUGUUGGAGGCUGAUGGUACCGUAAGAAUAAGGAUCGGCUAACUCCGUGCCAGCAGCCGCGGUAAUACGGAGGAUCCAAGCGUUAUCCGGAUUUAUUGGGUUUAAAGGGUGCGCAGGCGGAAUUAUAAGUCAGUGGUGAAAUCCUGCAGCUUAACUGCAGAACUGCCAUUGAUACUGUUAUUCUUGAGUAUAUUUGAAGUGGGCGGAAUGUGUCAUGUAGCGGUGAAAUGCUUAGAUAUGACACAGAACACCAAUUGCGAAGGCAGCUCACUAAGCUAUAACUGACGCUCAUGCACGAAAGCGUGGGGAUCAAACAGGAUUAGAUACCCUGGUAGUCCACGCCGUAAACGAUGAUUACUCGAUGUUGGUGAUACACAAUCAGCGUCUAAGCGAAAGCAAUAAGUAAUCCACCUGGGGAGUACGAUCGCAAGGUUGAAACUC